CUGGCCUUACCCGCCCCAGACACAGUACCGGGUUGGACAGUCUAUAAAUGCAGAAUUAAAUGGAAUAAUACAGAGGUGUACGGUGCAGACGGUCGACUCCAGCUUGUUUAAAGUUCUCGUUUCGACAGAUCAACAUGAGGAAUGGAUCUACCGAGGCUCCUCAUGCUUGGAACGCAUAAUCAAAAUGAAUGGGACUUUAGUGUCAUCAGAUAAGUUGGCGCAGAAGAAUACAUCUUCUGUAGUUGCUGAAUCAUCAAAGGCAGCACCCUGAUGGAACCAUUGAUGUGUAAAGAGAGCUGUGUGCUCUCAAGAUGGCGGCCCCUUCAUUUAGUGAAAGGUGCUCUCCAAGGAUACGCUGGAACGUUUUUCAAGCUUACUGGGGAGAAUCCGCACUUAAGUUCCAGCUGAGCCGAUUGAGCAUUUACAUUGAGAACCAUAAAGAUUAUAGUAAAGUUCCAGAAGGGCUUACAGUAUUAGACAUCUGAUUCAUUGCCCUUGACCUGGUCAAUGCCCAUGCUGUUCAUGUGAACAAUGUCUGUGGAGAUCAUUCCUCCGACAUGCCUGAUAUAUUUGAUGCCUAUCAGAUAAUGUCACUGCAGAGAAUGUCUCUGUUUUCCUGGGGAAUGCGAUGGGCCUUGCAUAUGUUUUUAUGAAGAUGUAGACCAUUUAUAAUAAAUGUAUUUUAGUUUUUUUGUGUGUGAUAACUUAAUAAAAAUGAUAUGUUCAUUUCCAUCAACCUUUUUAAUGGCAAUUUUAUUAUUCCAAUGUCCUAUAUCCUUUUGCCAUUACUUCACAGGAGGGUUUAGAGUGAUCCUGACGCAGACGCAGUGUCAAAGGGUUGUGGUAUGAGCAUCUGCCGGCUGGGCUGUCUGGCUGGUAGAAUCGGUAUGCUCUUCCUCCUGUGUCCUCGUCCUCUCCUGUCACCUAUGACCCCUUUUAUACACCCGGUGCAGCUAAACCCCGCCACCAAGUGUUCAAAAAUAAUAUUGCACUAUACAUAUAAAUAAGGUAAACUGAGACACCAACAACACC